rnacentral:rRNA from 1 species
AGUGAACGCUGGCGGUAGGCCUAACACAUGCAAGUCGAACGGCAGCACAGUAAGAGCUUGCUCUUACGGGUGGCGAGUGGCGGACGGGUGAGGAAUACAUCGGAAUCUACUUUUUCGUGGGGGAUAACGUAGGGAAACUUACGCUAAUACCGCAUACGACCUACGGGUGAAAGCAGGGGAUCUUCGGACCUUGCGCGAAUGAAUGAGCCGAUGUCGGAUUAGCUAGUUGGCGGGGUAAAGGCCCACCAAGGCGACGAUCCGUAGCUGGUCUGAGAGGAUGAACAGCCACACUGGAACUGAGACACGGUCCAGACUCCUACGGGAGGCAGCAGUGGGGAAUAUUGGACAAUGGGCGCAAGCCUGAUCCAGCCAUACCGCGUGGGUGAAGAAGGCCUUCGGGUUGUAAAGCCCUUUUGUUGGGAAAGAAAAGCAGCAGGUUAAUACCCCGCUGUUCUGACGGUACCCAAAGAAUAAGCACCGGCUAACUUCGUG